AAUUCAUUUCAUCCAGCCGCUCUCCUUUCUCUGCAAACCCUAAUCUCUGGUGAUUUUCAACUUAGGGUUUCUUACCUCCUGUAGUAUGAGCAAGAUCUCACCAGAUCCAACAACUAUGUGGUCUGUAAUAGUGGUCGAGGCAAGUUCCAACAACCCGAGAUCUAGGUGUCGGUAAGGCGGCAACGUGAGAAGGAGGUCGCUGCUAUGACUCAUACAGUGGCAGGGGAUGAGGAUGAUUAUAGAUCUACUCCUUGGAAAGAUGAAGUAACCAGGACCACACGUGUUGAGGAAUUUUGUUUCAUCACAUAUACUACUUACACAAAAUCAGAGGUUCUGAAAAUGGAAAGUCAAGUUCUGAACAUUUUGAAUUUUCACCCUUCACCACCAACAGCAGAAGCUUUUUUCGGGAGAUUCAUAAGAGCAACACAGGCUUCCCACCAGGUUCUUUGUGUUCGAAUCUCUUUUACAUUUGCUGUUACAUAUUUGGUAUGUUUUCAUUUACUUUCACCCUGGUUUGUUGGAUUACUUUUACUUAUUCAUUCGACUCACUUAACCCGUUUCAUUUUUAAAUAACUUUCUGGGUUCGAGCCAUUCAACCAAAUUGAUAACGUAUUUAAAGUGGUCCAUUUUGACCCAAACUCAUUUUGCUUUGAGUACGUUUUAACCAGGACCUACUUUGACCCAUCACUCAACCCGACCAUCCCGUUUCGCCAGAUUUUAGAAGGAUGACCACACGUAAAGAUGAAAUUGGAGAAAAAGAGAUCACCGUCAAUGGAUAAAAUUAUGAAGUAUGGACAAACUUAGAUCAGCUAAAAAAAGCACAAGAAAUGAGACGUGUGGAGGAUGGACUUUGAGGAGUUCUGUGCAGCUGCCCUUUGUGUCCAUCAACUCGAGGGUCUUGAUCAACGGGAAAGGCAGAGCCGUGACGCCUAUGAAAUAUUUGAGAAAGACGGUAACAGACCUAUUGUACAUGAAGAACUAGCUUAUUUGGGAUCUGCGGAACUCUUUAUGAAGGAAUCAAAGUUUUUAAUACAUGGAAGCGGUAAAGACAAUCCCUUGGCGGUACUUCACCACCGACUAGCGCCUAGCGCCUUCUACAACAUUGAAUCCUCCAACGGGAUUCGUGUUUGAAAAGCAACAAAUGCGAGGAUUAUAUUUCAGUCAAUCUCCCGCAAAGGAGGAACAACGAUUCAAUGCUUGCAACUGUUGAAUCAACAAAACUAGAUUAUGAAUGGAGGAACGACUGAACAAAACAUGUUGGAGCUGACUCAUUCGCAUUGGCGAAGGGAUCCGGUUUGUAAGGUGCGGUGUCUUGGCGUUCCGACUGUCGACAUGCGAAACCUCUGCCGCAUUCUGUAGUUGAAAUGAAAGGAGAAGACUGGUGGUAAGAUUCUUCUUAGGACUGGUGGUGUGUUGUAUCUUUUUCGGGGUAGACAUUAUGAUCCGCACAACAGGCCGAAAUACCAUGUGAUUCUGUGGAAGCCUGCAACUCCGGUUUACCCUAAGCUUAUACAAGAAUCACCAGAAGGGUUGACGAAAGAAGAAGCUGAUGAGUUGAGAAUGAAAGGGAAAAAACUCCCCCCGAUUUGUAGACUAGGUAAGAACGGUUGGAGAGUAGAAAUGUCUCACAACUCUAGAGGAUCUGGCAGUGGCGGAGGGCGUGGUGGAGGUCAUGGUCGCUCUGGUGGUUCUGAUUUGAAAUGCUACCAGUGUGGUGACGUUGGCCAGUUUGCUCGUGAGUGUUGUGGUGGUGGUGGUGGUGGUAGACGCCGCAGCCGCAGCCGUAGCCCAGUCAACAGGUACCGACGGAGUCCUAGCUACGGUCAGAGGAGCUACAGUCCUCGUGGCCGAUCACCGCCACGCCGUAGGGUGUCACCUCCUCGCAAGAUUAACUACAGCAGGUCACCUCCGCAUCGUGGAUGAGACGAGUUGCCAUACACAAACGACGUGUUUUAUUUCUGUUUCUUUUUGAAAGUAUAUGUAAUUCAAAUGUGUUAGUUUGAGUCUGAGAUGGAAAUGCUCAAUAUGGUAUGUUGCUUUGAGACAAACAACAUAAAUACUUAUGGGUUGCCGCGGACAAUCCCAGUAGUUUAUUUUGAGGAGACUGGUAAAAAUAAAAAAACAAAAUUAA